rnacentral:rRNA from 1 species
GACGAACGCUGGCGGCGUGCUUAACACAUGCAAGUCGAACGGAAAGGCCCUGCUUUUGUGGGGUGCUCGAGUGGCGAACGGGUGAGUAACACGUGAGUAACCUGCCCUUGACUUUGGGAUAACUUCAGGAAACUGGGGCUAAUACCGGAUAGGAGCUCCUGCUGCAUGGUGGGGGUUGGAAAGUUUCGGCGGUUGGGGAUGGACUCGCGGCUUAUCAGCUUGUUGGUGGGGUAGUGGCUUACCAAGGCUUUGACGGGUAGCCGGCCUGAGAGGGUGACCGGCCACAUUGGGACUGAGAUACGGCCCAGACUCCUACGGGAGGCAGCAGUGGGGAUUAUUGCACAAUGGGCGGAAGCCUGAUGCAGCAACGCCGCGUGCGGGAUGACGGCCUUCGGGUUGUAAACCGCUUUCGCCUGUGACGAAGCGUGAGUGACGGUAAUGGGUAAAGAAGCACCGGCUAACUACGU